GACGAACGCUGGCGGCGUGCUUAACACAUGCAAGUCGAACGGAAAGGCCCUGCUUUUGUGGGGUGCUCGAGUGGCGAACGGGUGAGUAACACGUGAGUAACCUGCCCUUGACUUUGGGAGAACUUCAGGAAACUGGGGCUAAUACCGGAUAGGAUCUCCUGCUGCAUGGUGGGGGUUGGAAAGUUUCGGCGGUUGGGGAUGGACUCGCGGCUUAUGAGCUUGUUUGUGUGGUAGUGGCUGACCAAGGCUUUGAGGGGUAGCCGGCCUGAGAGGGUUACCGGCGACAUGAGGACUGAGGGACGGAGCAGACGGCUACGGGCGGCAGCAGGGGGGAAUAUUGCGGAGUGGGGGGAAGCCAGAUGCGACAGCGCCCGGUGCGGGAUAACCGCCUUUGGGUUGUAAACAGCUUUGUCCGGUGCCGAGGAGUGCGUGACGGUAACUGGUAAGGAAGCAACGGCUAACUACGUG
rnacentral:rRNA from 1 species